rnacentral:rRNA from 1 species
AGGUAUCGCCUGACCAGUGAUAUUAUUUUAACGGCCGMGGUACCCUAACCGUGCAAAGGUAGCGUAAUCAUUUGUCUCCUAAAUAGGGACUUGUAUGAACGGCUAACUGAGGGCCUAACUGUCUCCUAAGGUUAAUCAAUGAAACUGAUCUUCCAGUACAAAAGCUGAAAUAAACACAUAAGACGAGAAGACCCUGUGGAGCUUAAAACCAACACUAUAAAUCACCCCACUCUACGGGAAAACACCCCAUACUCCACCUCAACCAUAGCAAAGGUUUUCAGUUGGGGCGACUUUGGAAUAAAAUAAAACUUCCAUGCCAGAGACUACAUCUCUAUCAAGGCCAACAUGCCAAAAUAUAAUUUUUUGACCCAGCAUGCCUGAUCAACGAACCAAGUUACCCCAGGGAUAACAGCGCCAUCCUCUUCAAGAGUCCUUAUCGACAAGAGGGUUUACGACCUCGAUGUUGGAUCAGGACACCCAGGUGGUGCAACCGCUACCAAAGGUUCGUUUGUUCAACGAUUAAUAGUCCUACGUGAUCUGAGUCA